CUGUACUCUCGCUUUGAUGUCUUAAAUCUAUAUGGUAUUGCUUUUAAUCAAAGUAUGAACAGCCAUCAUAUCCCUGUGGAUAAUUUUACAUGUGUGAUAUAUGCAUUUAUUUUGUUAUUUGGGAUUAUAUUUACGACCAUUUACAACUCGGCUGCGUCGAGCAAUUUGUCAGCUCCAAGAUUUAUCGGAGAAAUAAAAACAAUUGGUGAUAUAAUUAAAGCCGAUUUGCCCUGGUCAACAUCUAUAAAUACUUAUCCACACAUUCUUAGGGAUAGCCAAUUACAACUGAUAAUAUAUUUUUACUAUUUUUUUAUAUUCACUAUAAAGUAUUGGUUUAUAUUUAAUUAAAUAUUUUAGCAAUUGCAGCUGAAGAAACUAUAUAUAAAGCGUUCACGUAAAUUAAUGCAAGAUAUAAUGGACAGUGGAGCACCUUAUGGAUUUGUAUUCACUCAGUUUCAAUCUGGAUAUACUAGUUUGGGUGUCGUUCAUAACUUUGAUGGGGAGCAUUUUCAAUUAAUAGAGCAGGAAUUUACAACAGAAAAUACCUACAUGUUAUUACGAAAAAAACUCUGUACUUAAGGAAUCUAUGGAUAUCAUGAUUAGGCGAUGUUCUGAAGCUGGAUUAAUUGUAAAAUGGGAAGAACAGGCCUUUUUAAACUCAAAUUCAUUACUGCAACAGUACCAAAUACUUGACAAAAAGGUAAUUAACGUAUGGAAACCUGCAAGUUUUUAUUGUCUAUUGUUGUUUUUUUCAUAGAAAUAAUAAAAAAAUAUUUAAAA